rnacentral:lncRNA from 1 species
GAUGGGUGUUGCCUUCCUCCAAGAUACAUAAGGAGUUCGCAAAGGGAAUUGGGACGGCCUGACCCUGUCCAUGAACUCAAUACCCAAGACGAGUGGAUAAUCGUCCAUGGUCACGAUUGAGAAGUUUAUGUGGCCGUGCCAAUUGCCUAAGCGAACCGGCACAUUGCAGGCAACUCCAAAGGUUUUUGUUGGUGCAGCAUUGACGCCCUUGAGCCAACCUCGGCUUGUCUCNNNN